GGGGGGGGGGGAGACGACUAUUUUAAGCCUCUGGUUCCGGGAGGCUGUUGCUUAUCAGCAAAACCCUUCAACAUCCGAACAUGCCCAGUGCUGAGUUUCCUCCGGGUAUCUACAUACAAGGAAAGGAAUUUAAAUGGAAACAGCUCCUCUUCUUCUCCCCUCCUCGAAGAAGGGAAACUUAAAAGCACUUUUAGAAAGCUGGCCGGUUGGCGGACUCCAGCCGGACACCUUUGUGCAGCCUCCCCUGGAAGGGGCCGGGCUGCCGGGACCGUCCCCACCGCAGACACUCCCCGGAGGAGCGGGGCCUCAUGGGAAAGGGGGCAGGCGGGACUGUGCGUGAGCCCCAGACGAGAAGCGGGGCGCCCCAGCGUCUCCCACCGCCGCCGCGCCCCCGGCCCGGUUCCCCCAUGGCUAGGCCCCUCCACAUAAAUAAACACGCCCAGCGCCAUCCGGAACCGGGGAGCGUGCGCUGCGCACACCUGGAGGCUGAUCCGUGAUUCACUGAAGACUGGAUCACCAGGAAAACACUCCGAGGAAGGCAGUAAUGACUCUUCGCCCUGACGCUGUUUGUUGUGUGGGAAAAGCACGCCUAGGGGACGCCGCCCUCACCUAAAACCUAAAUAUCCAAGUUCAAGAGGGAUAAUUACAUAUCAGAGGCUGCCCAGGGAAGAAGAAUGAAGAUGGUGAAAAGAAACGUGAAAGUGUGCUAUAUAAAUUAUGGGAUGAAGGAGUGCCAUGUUCAAAGUGGAAAAGAGAAGAUUUAGGAAACACGUGACAACUGUCCUUGAUUAUUGAAAUAACUGCUAUGUGGAAGAAUCUUCAGAUGUAAAGAUGAAAAAGGCUGAAACAACAAGGAAGGACUUUCUAUGUGGUGUUUGAGUAGAGGUCAGACAUCUAAAGUUAUGGAAAAUCAUCCCAUUAAAUUAAGAG